ACCCAUUCCCCUCAGUUCCACACUAACUUUUCAACGUGUGCACUUGAGGGAAGUUGGCUGUUCGAUCGGCUACGGAGGGGUUUUUCCUUCCCUUUUCUCCCACCUAUACACUUUCCCACGUUCUGCAACAACAUCGACGAGACAAGCAGAGAACUUCAACUGAAUAACUAUCCGCUAUUAUUUCAUACAAUCUCUGUCCCUGAGGACCAUGUUGGAAUCCGGCACUCUCCAUCAGCACACUGCAUACGCACAGGGGACUGGGAUGUGUAGCGUGUGUGAGGAGGAUAUGGAAUAUGCUGGGGGAGAAAGAGGCGCUGCUCUGGGCUAGGUAAGAGGAGACCUGUGGUCAAGAAGAGAGCUCCAGUAUUGGAAGGCUGGCUGAAGCACUCACCAAACAGCUGGGAGUGUUCACGCUUUCUUUAUGCCAAAACAACAGAGCCUGAAAUAGAGUUUCAACUCAGCAGAUGUGGCAAGAACAAUCACAGGGGUGGAACAACACGUUUUCACACAUUUUUCAGUUUCGGUUCAAAUUGACCUUAAAUAAAAAGUGAAACAAUCAG